AUGCAAGUCGAGGGGUAGAAUUUCUUCGGAAAUUUGAGACCGGCGCACGGCUGUGUAACGCGUAUGCAAUCUACCCUUUACUGGAGAAUAGCCCGGAGAAAUUCGGAUUAAUGCCCCAUAUGCUCGUAGGAUCUCCUGAUCCAGCGAGGAAAGCUCCGGCGGUAAAGGAUGAGCAUGCGUCCCAUUAGCUUGUUGGUGAGGUAACGGCUCACCAAGGCGACGAUGGGUAGGGGGCCUGAGAGGGCGAUCCCCCACACUGGUACUGAGACACGGACCAGACUCCUACGGGAGGCAGCAGUGAGGAAUAUUGAGCAAUGGAGGCAACUCUGACCCAGCCAUGCCGCGUGCAGGAAGACGGUCCUCUGGAUUGUAAACUGCUUUUAUUAGGGAAUAAACCCUCCUACGUGUAGGAGGCUGAAGGUACCUGAUGAAUAAGCAUCGGCUAACUCCGUGCCAGCAGCCGCGGUAAUACGGAGGAUGCAAGCGUUAUCCGGAUUUAUUGGGUUUAAAGGGUCCGUAGGCGGGUAUUUAAGUCAGUGGUGAAAGCCCACAGCUCAACUGUGGAACUGCCAUUGAUACUGGAUGUCUUGAGUAUAGUAGAAGUAGGCGGAAUAGGGCAUGUAGCGGUGAAAUGCAUAGAUAUGCCCUAGAACACCGAUUGCGAAGGCAGCUUACUAUGUUAUAACUGACGCUGAGGGACGAAAGCGUGGGGAGCAAACAGGAUUAGAUACCCUGGUAGUCCACGCCGUAAACGAUGAUUACUCGCUGCUGGCGAUAUACAGUCAGUGGCCAAGCGAAGGCAUUAAGUAAUCCACCUGGGGAGUACGCCGGCAACGGUGAAACUCAAAGGAAUUGACGGGGGCCCGCACAAGCGGUGGAGCAUGUGGUUUAAUUCGAUGAUACGCGAGGAACCUUACCAGGGUUUAAAUGGGAAUUGACAGAUGCCGAAAGGUGUCCUUCUU
rnacentral:rRNA from 1 species